rnacentral:lncRNA from 1 species
CCCCCUCCCCCCGCCCCAUUGCACGGCUCAGACACUCAGUCUUUUCUGAGGCCUGCUCUACACCUACAUAUUAGCUUGACCUGGCGAUGCCUCUCGGGGCGGCAGCAGGGAAAAGGGAUGGAGGCCAGGUGCAGCUCCCGCUCAGGAGCACCCCAUUGGCUGGCCACGCAGGGGCUUUGUUCUUGGCAGGGAACGUCGCGCAGGCCGCGGCUCUGCAGUGGCAGCCCUCCACGAGCGCGCGGCAGGCUUAGAGCGGGUGAGCAUGUGCGGAGUUAGGGGGGAGGCACUGCAGCCUGCUGAUGUAAAGCAAAGAGAGGAUAGCUGUGCACUAGGAGCCCCCCUUUCACUCCCCCCGCCCCUCUUCCCCUCAGCAGGGCAGGGGGGCGGUCGAGCGGAGGAAAGCAAAGCCAGAAGCAGCUCGCUAUGGCAAGUGCAGCGGAGGCAGGUGCCAUCUGGUCGCCCUCACCUCAGUGCCGAGCGGGAGAAGAGGACGAGGCUGGCUGGCUCAGACCCUGCAUCUCAGCAGUUGUUCCAUGCAACCCCUCAGAAUGCGGCUACUCAUCUCUGUUCACCUGGCUGCUCAGCCCGCAGAGAGAAACAAACCCACAAGGUACGGAUCCUACUGCUUAUCAUUUUCCAAGACUAAAAGACCAGCCCUCAGCUGGCGCUUAUUGGCACAGCUCCAGAGUCUGGCCCUUAGAUUUUAAAUGGCACAAAACCUAGUGUUUUCUCCUCCCUACGGGCUUUGGAGUCGGAAGGCAGAGUCCUAGCAUUGUUUAAAUUAUUUAGCCCUUCCCUUUCAACAUUGCUUGGGUUAAUUUCAGAGUCAUCAAGCCGAGCAUCGAAUGACACAUACAUUGAGGAUAACUAGAAUUGUGGGAUCCCCAGAGCUUUUGGGGGGGGGGAGGGAGGAGCCUUGAUUCCUUCAGUCCCACUUUGCAUCACUGACACCAAGAGCACCCUCUGGGAAGUAUCACUCAGGUGAGAGCACAGAAAUGUUCACAGAGCAUAGCGAUGGGAAUGGUACAGACGGACAGACAGACACAACAACCCUAGUCACCACCACAGAGAUAUUCAAGCAACGCUGGUGUGUCUCAACACUGAGCUUUGGAAGAGGCAGCUUUUAAGGUAUAAGUUCAUGCUGCAAAAACAUUUAGCUAAGGAAGCUUGGGCCAGAUUUUUAAAGGUGUUUAGGUGCCUAACAUGGGAGCUAGGCCCUAUGUGGAAUAUUUUCAAACUUGGGUGUCACAGCUCGCACCAGUGUCAACAGCAGCUGCGGAUGCUCAGCAACUCUGACAGUCAGGCUAGAUCUACAAUAUGGGCUCUACAGCCGCACAGCUACAGUGCCACAGCUAUGUGGCUGUAGCACAGCCACUUCCUGCAUCAAUGAAACAGGUUUUUCCAUAGAUAUCGUUAAUCCUUCUCCCCCCACCACCCAAGAGGCAGUAGGUAAGUCGACAGAAGAGUUCUUCCGUUAACCUAGCUGCGUCUACCUGAGGGGCAUGGGCAACGGGUAUAAUGGGCCAGGGGAGGCCCUGCCCACACUCUGCCCCGAGGUCCUGCCCUCGCACCCCUCUCUCCCCAAAACUGGUGGGAGCUCAGCUCAGGCCAGCAGCCUGGGCUGGGACAGACAGGUCAGCCAGGGC